GGGGGGGGCAACUUGGAAACUAAUGCUAGGUACCAGCCUGUUUGUUUACCUGAGUUUAAACUUAGGUCAGGUUCUCUAAAAUGGAGUUUGAACUUAAAAAAUUUGGCCUCUCAUUACCAACAUUAUUCACUACUUUUUAUCUUGAUAUUUUCCCCCUAGGGUUGAGGAUUAAACCCAGGGCCUUGUCCUGCUAAAGAAGAGGCUCUAUCACUGACCUGAUGUCUCAGAAGCCACAAACACAGAACAACCUGGAUCCAAGAGAAGACAUCCGAAUGUAGUGAGCAGUCAACAGAAGCCGAACGUGACCGAGCCGUUCCUUGUAAGAAGUACUCAUCUGCUUUCCUUUCAUCUUUCCAGGCCUUCACCUUGAUUUAGACAGUUAAUUGUUUGUAUUUAUAUAAUUCAAGAGCUUACUUCAGGCUAUUUCUCAGAAUUAAGGUAGAAUUAGAAGUAAAAUAAUAAAUGAUCCUUCACCCUUUGAGAAAUUAGUGUUUCUAGCUGAUUCACUCAUCAAGGUUAAAAAAUAAAACCCUGGCUUGGCCAACUUGCCUGUUGUUCUCUGUG
rnacentral:lncRNA from 1 species